rnacentral:rRNA from 1 species
CCCUUAGAUGUUCUGGGCCGCACGCGCGCUACACUGAUGCAUUCAACGAGCCUAUCCUUGACCGACAGGUCCGGGUAAUCUUUGAAUCUGCAUCGUGACGGGGAUAGAUUAUUGCAAUUAUUAAUCUUCAACGAGGAAUGCCUAGUAGGCGCAAGUCAUCAGCUUGCGUCGAUUACGUCCCUGCCCUUUGUACACACCGCCCGUCGCACCUACCGAUUGAAUGGUCCGGUGAAAUCUUCGGAUUGAGACUUUGAUUUGUUUACUCAAAACGCUGUUUCAAGAAGUUGAUUAAACCUUACCAUUUAGAGGAAGGUGAAGUCGUAACA